AGUAGGAUUGCUGGGUUGUAUGGUAAGUAUAUGUUUAACUUUAUAAGAAAUUGCUAAACUUUUUUUUAAAAUGGCUGUACUAUUAUGCAUUUCUACCAGCAAU
rnacentral:pre_miRNA from 1 species